rnacentral:rRNA from 1 species
GUGGGGAAUCUUGCGCAAUGGGCGAAAGCCUGACGCAGCCAUGCCGCGUGAAUGAUGAAGGUCUUAGGAUUGUAAAAUUCUUUCACCGGGGACGAUAAUGACGGUACCCGGAGCAGAAGCUCCGGCUAACUUCGUGCCAGGAGCCGCGGUAAUACGAAGGGGGCUAGCGUUGCUCGGGAUUACUGGGCGGAAAGGGCGCGUAGGCGGACAGCUUAGUCAGAGGUGAAAGCCCAGGGCUCAACCUGGGAGUUGCCUUUGAUACUGGCUGUCUUGAGUGUGGGAGAAGUGAGUGGAACUCCGAGUGAAGAGGUGACAUUCGUAGAUAUUCGGAAGAACACCAGUGGCGAAGGCGACUCACUGGCCAAAUACUGACGCUGAGGCGCGAAAGCGUGGGGAGCAAACAGGAUUAGAAACCCCUGUAGUCC